rnacentral:lncRNA from 1 species
UCCAAAAUUAGAACCGUCAAACCGUGAUUGCUCAACGGGCGACUACUUUAUAAAACAUAUCUUGAGAUUACAAGAAUACUGAAUUGUAAGAUUUCUUUUUUUUUUAGAGAGAGAGAUAGGUAGCACGCUACCCGCUUCGUUUAUUUUAUUUAGAAAUAAACUUAGCUGAAAAUGUGAAUCAACUAGGAUUCGAAUUUGGGUCUCGAAUACCAACGACCAAGCCCUUUGCCACUUGCUCUACGAACGGUCGGUCUGAAUUAUAAGAUUUCUAUUUUGCAUUUCCCGCAUACAAGAUGGUUGACGGACACUUAUCAUUGGGACUCAUCUGUUUCUUACAAUAGGAAAAAAAUACUUCAAGGGAGAGCCUUCCAACGAUGCCUUGUUGCUGAGAAGCUCCAAUUCGUUGUCGGUUUUGUCUUUAUCUAAGAUUUAUAAUUCUUCCCUCUAGUAUUUAAUUUUUUUUUAAAAAAAAUAGUAUUAAAAAAUUACCAGCACACUCUUGGAUGAAGAUAAAAUUAA